CGUCACUAUCUAACAUCACACAAAUCAUAGAGCUCUUCUUCAUUAACGUUGCUAUUAUAGCACACUUCUCUAUUUUAUUCGUUUUUAUAGAGACUAGAGAGGCUGCAUAUAUUCAAUAUAUAUAAGCAUAUCACCUAAAAUUUUUUUAAUUUACAACUAUAACAAAAAUCUUUACUUUACGCUCUCCACGAUACGAUACAUCAUUCAAAUAUCUUUUCACAUAAACAACAGUAAGUAAGUAUAUACCGUAAAUACAUAUGUUUUCUAUUUUUCUUAAGGGACUGCAUUAUUGAUCCUUUAUAAAUAUCCUUCUCAUAAUCGUCUCUCCACAAUUUUGUAUAAUUUUCCACAUUUAACGAAAUAUCAAUUACGAAUUACUUCUACUUUGUGGUGUCUAUUGCCCAUAAAAGGGGGAAGAGAGUCUCAUUAAUGUUUACCACCAUUGACUUGAAUUGACACAAAAAGACUUCUUUGCAUGGGCGUUUUGUUCGAUCUGCGUCAUAAGCAUUAUACCAGCGAUAUAACCGUAUAAGUAUGACAGCUAUUGGCUUUGCAAUGAAGAGGGUCGGACACUAAGCACAAAGAAAGCAGGAAUAAAACAGAUAGUACAAAGGAUAAAAAAAUCGAUUUGAAAAGCUUUCAGUUCACCAAACACCGAAGAAUACACUUAAGUGCUUGAAAAGCAUGCGAAGCAGAGAAUAAUUGAGGAGGGGCAGUUAGAGAGGUGGGGGAAAAGGAAGGCUAUCAUAAGGCAAUCGGUGUUGUGAAGGGUCAGCUACUAAGUGGCUUUCGCGAUAUGCUCAUAAGUGGUUUAUGUGGACCAAGUGGGUCAAGUGGCUCGUUUGCUAAGCGUCAAGCAAACAAGCACAGCUGUGCUUACAUAUCAAGCGCGGCUAACCAAGCACUCGAGAGCGCUUGCUGGAAGAAAAGCUGAAGAAAAAGUAUUGGAAUUAAAAUAAACAGCUGACGGUGGCACGAAUUUAUAUUUGCCAACACACACAUAUAUGUACUUUAUAUGAAAAAAUAAAUAUGUAAAAUUAAACGAG